UAACCUACCUAUAAGACUGGGAUAACUUCGGGAAACCGGAGCUAAUACCGGAUAAUAUUUCGAACCGCAUGGUUCGAUAGUGAAAGGUGGUUUUGCUAUCACUUAUAGAUGGACCCGCGCCGUAUUAGCUAGUUGGUAAGGUAACGGCUUACCAAGGCGACGAUACGUAGNCCGACCUGAGAGGGUGAUCGGCCACACUGGAACUGAGACACGGUCCAGACUCCUACGGGAGGCAGCAGCU
rnacentral:rRNA from 1 species